AUUGAACGCUGGCGGUAGGCCUAACACAUGCAAGUCGAACGAGUGGCGGACGGGUGAGGAAUACAUCGGAAUCUACCCUGUCGUGGGGGAUAACGAAGGGAAACGUACGCUAAUACCGCAUACGAUUGGAUGAGCCGAGGUCGGAUUAGCUAGUUGGCGGGGUAAAGGCCCACCAAGGCGACGAUCCGUAGCUGGUCUGAGAGGAUGACCAGCCACACUGGAACUGAGACACGGUCCAGACUCCUACGGGAGGCAGCAGUGGGGAAUAUUGGACAAUGGGCGCAAGCCUGAUCCAGCCAUACCGCGUGGGUGAAGAAGGCCUUCGGGUUGUAAAGCACUUUGAGUUGGGAGGCGUUACCAACAGAAUAAGCACCGGCUAACUUCGUGCCAGCCGCCGCGGUAAUUC
rnacentral:rRNA from 1 species